rnacentral:rRNA from 1 species
GAUGAACGCUAGCGGCAGGCUUAACACAUGCAAGUCGAGGGGUAUAGUUCUUCGGAGCUAGAGACCGGCGCACGGGUGCGUAACGCGUAUGCAAUCUACCUUUUGCAGAGGGAUAGCCCAGAGAAAUUUGGAUUAAUACCUCAUAGCAUAGCACAAUCGCAUGAUUGAGCUAUUAAAGUCACAACGGUGAAAGAUGAGCAUGCGUCCCAUUAGCUAGUUGGUAAGGUAACGGCUUACCAAGGCUACGAUGGGUAGGGGUCCUGAGAGGGAGAUCCCCCACACUGGUACUGAGACACGGACCAGACUCCUACGGGAGGCAGCAGUGAGGAAUAUUGGUCAAUGGGCGCAAGCCUGAACCAGCCAUGCCGCGUGCAGGAUGACGGUCCUAUGGAUUGUAAACUGCUUUUGUACGGGAAGAAACACUCCUACGUGUAGGAGCUUGACGGUACCGUAAGAAUAAGGAUCGGCUAACUCCGUGCCAGCCGCCGCAGUAACAC